rnacentral:tRNA from 1 species
GCAAGUUUAGUGUAACGGUAGCACAACAGUCUCCAAAACUGUUAAGUAGUGGUUCAAAUCCAUUAACUUGUGCCA